rnacentral:rRNA from 1 species
UACGUAGGGUGCAAGCGUUGUCCGGAAUUAUUGGGCGUAAAGAGCGUGUAGGCGGCCCGACCAGUCCGCUGUGAAAGUCCUGGGCUCAACCCUGGAAUGCCGGUGGAUACUGUCGGGCUAGAGUCCGGAAGGGGCGAGUGGAAUUCCUGGUGUAGCGGUGAAACGCGCAGAUAUCAGGAGGAACACCAAUGGCGAAGGCAGCUCGCUGGGACGUGACUGACGCUGAGACGCGAAAGCGUGGGGAGCAAACAGG